ensembl:lncRNA
AGGAGAUGGCUCCACUGUAUGCCUCAUGCCCUCAUAGAAAACAGUUUAAAAGAUACAUCAAUAAGCAGAUUCAACACGGUAAUAGGGUGGAUAAGCUACAAAAGAUUUUCAAACAAUAUUCUCGAACAAUCCAGAAGUUACAACUGCAAUUUUUUUUCCCACAUUUCUUUCACAAAUCCUAAAUCCUGCUUGCUGCAGUCAUGUCUCAUUAUCUGUUCUAGCUCUCAAGGAUCUUCCUGUAUACAAAUAAUUUACAAUGCCAGCUUAAAUAAAACAAACUAAAAUAAAACCAAAAGAAAUAAAGGGGAUAUCUGUCCACAUGCAACUUUAGAACUUGAUGGCAAAUUGUGGCAGAUAUAAAAAUUUAACACUGGUAAAGAAAUAUGUGGUAGUUGUACAGUACAUGAAAGCCUGCCGAGGUUUACUAGAAACAUACAGAGAUCAUACAUAAAAAGAUCUCUUGACUUGAAAGUAUUUGGACAGUAAAAGAAUACUGGGGAAUAACAUUAUUAUUCUGUUAAUAUUCCUUCCUCAACAUUUACCUAUAGAGAGUUUCACAAACAGAAUACUGAAUUUUGCCUAGACCCAGUAUGCUGUUUCAUAUGUUCAACACGGCUAUUCUAUCCAUUCUUUCUUUAUACAAAAUGGGUCUACUGAUGCAAGACAAGAGAAAUGAUAAGGAAGAAACUAAAACAGGCUGAUAAACUUGACUGCAAGACAGAUGUGAAGCAUUAAAGAUGAGACAUAUGUGCUCUCUGAGUGAAUAGAGGCAAGAACUAGGAGGAAGAAGUGUAUACCCAUACAGUGAGAGACUAUCCACUAGAUUUCAGAGAUGUAGUCCUUUCCCUCACUUUCACACAAGAUACGGGCAUAUGAAGACAUUUCAUCAAUUAUAAAGGUAUAUGUGGGGAAAGAAAGAAAAAUGAACAGUCAUCUGUUGACAAUUUUUCAUCCAUGUCAUACAUCUAGUGCAGAUGAACAAGAGAUGGUUGUAAAUCAGGUAACAACUGCUGACUGACUUUGGAUAUGGAGAAGUUAAAGAUUGGCUUGGGAUAAUGUAGCCAAGAUCUCUGGUAGUUUAUGAACCUGUAGGUUAGAAAGCAUUAAAUAAUGAAGUUAGUAGCACCUUUUGACCCACUGUGGAUGUGUUCAGUACUGCCACCGGCUAAAGUCAUUUUCCAUGCAGGGCUUGGAUACAUCAACCAGAUACAACAGUUGUCCCAUUCCCUCAAGGCUAUGAUGCUGAUCAAAGCUAGAUUGUAUGCCUUGUCUGAUGAGGGCAUCCUGUGCAGAGUGUAUGUUUGCAUUUCUGAGAUAAUUCUGAGAAAUUGCCAUCCACCUGCUAAACCUAUCCCAUUUAGUAAACAAAUUGUAGAUUAUAUGUCACUGGGUAGCAUGGUUCCAUCACCCCUAGCUUUUCUUGUGACUGAGGAACUAAGAAAAAAAAAAAAACAGAACAAAAAGGAAGCUGCUGGUUUUGCCAGGUGUGUGUUUUUUUUCUCUAUUGUUGGUUCUUUUGGUCAUAAGGUGGGAAUCUUUGCAGAGUUAGGUGCCUUAAAUGUGGAUGAUAGGAAUGCCAGAAUAAAGAGUGAUAAAUCUUAUGAAAAUAUAUAAGUUAAAGACACUCAAGAUAAUUAAAAAGAAAAAAGAAAAAAAGAAAAAUAUACCCACGAAGAUAGAAAUGGAGUUGCUAGGUUGAUAAUAAUAGCUCAAGAAUUUUAGAGAAAAAAAAAUGUUAAUUUUGUU